GCUUUUCACAGCUGGUAGAAUAUUGCCAGUUUGUUGUGAACUGCUAUCCUCGCUCCCCGGCUUGAAUUCAGCUGUCAACAUGAAGCUUAUUCACUUGAUCCUGGUGGUGGUAGUGAUGACCAUCUCUGUGCUGAUGGGGUCAGCUCUGGCUGACCCUGAUCCAUCGGCUCUGGCAGGUCCAGGGCCCUCCCCUAACAGGUGUUGUCCCUGUGAUGAUGGUACUUUCCCUGGCGAUUUUUAACCACAGCGGCCGCAGCGCGUUCUCCUGAAUGAAAUGAAAACUUUACCCUCUGUAUUUGCUCGUAGAUGCCACUGAUGCAAAGUUCUGUGAGACGAUGCUGCUAGAUAUCCAAUAUUGUGCAGGGCAGUACACAAGUGUCCAGUACUGUGCACAAGUUUUUAGUACUAUAGGCAAUUGUCCGGCACUGUGCGGAAGAGUCGAGUCCCUCAGCAAAUAAUUCUCCAGACACCAGGAAGAUGUUGAGCCAAUUCCUUCACUUCACCUGGAAACAAGUUACUUCUUAUCCCUGUUCCCACAUCCAACUGUUGAAAUUUCAACUUAAUUUUGUAUGUUAAAAAAAACUCCGUAUGUGAUUACGCAUUUAUAAAUAAAAGCUCUGUGUUA